rnacentral:rRNA from 1 species
UACGGAGGGUGCAAGCGUUGUCCGGAAUCACUGGGCGUAAAGCGCGCGCAGGCGGCUAUCCAAGUCAGUGGUGAAAGCCCGGAGCUCAACUCCGGAACUGCCAUUGAAACUGUUUAGCUUGAGUAUGAGAGAGGUGAGUGGAAUUCCCAGUGUAGAGGUGAAAUUCGUAGAUAUUGGGAAGAACACCGGUGGCGAAGGCGGCUCACUGGCUCAUUACUGACGCUCAGGCGCGACAGCGUGGGGAUCAAACAGG